UGGGAAUUGAGUAUAACAGUGUCGGAACAUUAUAAGUAUAACUUAUCCUCAGAAUGACACAGCUACUGCAAAAAAGGACUUCUAACAAGGCCAGUAGUAUAUAUCAGGGAUCAUGCUGUAUUUGGAAUAUCAAAAGAGAAGGAACUUCCAGGAUGAAAUCUGACUUAAGCUGUUUGGAGAACUGAUUUCUAAAAGAUGCACAAUGUGCCAUUCAGGCACCGCGAAUUCAUAUGUAUUUACACUCCAUGUCCAGGUGUGUAAGAGUCAUUUACAGUGAGGGAAAGAGAAGGGGGUAACCCUCUCCAGGAGUGCUUCAUCUCUUCUUGCCAUCUUCAUCUCCAUCCAUCCCUUUCCUGCGCAAGGAAAGCCGAGGCCCAACCUCCCCGGGCCGUCAUUUGCAUAUUCAUUUGCAUAUUCGCUUCAUCGAUGCUAAGGAAGAGGAGAGGUUAUAUGCUUAGCAAGAGGAAGUUUUG
rnacentral:lncRNA from 1 species